rfam:Cucumis sativus cultivar 9930 chromosome 5, whole genome shotgun sequence.
GUCCCUUCGGGGACAUCCGAUAAAAUUGGAAUGAUAUAGAGAAUAUUAGCAUGGCCCCUGCGCAAAGAUGACACGUGUCUGAUUGAAGUCAUUCUAAAGCAGAGUUUU